GUAGGUGGCAAGCGUUGUCCGGAAUUAUUGGGCGUAAAGCGCGCGCAGGCGGUUCUUUAAGCCUGAUGUGAAAGCCCACGGGCUCAACCGUGGAGGGUCAUUGGAAACUGGAGAACUUGAGUACAGAAGAGGAAAGCGGAAUUCCACGUGUAGCGGUGAAAUGCGUAGAGAUGUGGAGGAACACCAGUGGCGAAGGCGGCUUUCUGGUCUGUAACUGACGCUGAGGCGCGAAAGCGUGGGGAGCAAACAGGAUUAGAUACCCUGGUAGUCCACGCCGUAAACGAUGAGUGCUAAGUGUUAGGGGGGUUUCCGCCCCCUUAGUGCUGCAGCUAACGCAUUAAGCACUCCGCCUGGGGAGUACGGCCGCAAGGCUG
rnacentral:rRNA from 1 species